UACGUAGGGGGCAAGCGUUGUCCGGAAUCAUUGGGCGUAAAGCGCGUGUAGGCGGCUCGAUAAGUCUGCUGUGAAAGUUCAGGGCUCAACCCUGAAAUGCCGGUGGAAACUGUCGAGCUAGAGUCCGGAAGAGGCGAGUGGAAUUCCUGGUGUAGCGGUGAAAUGCGCAGAUAUCAGGAGGAACACCAAUGGCGAAGGCAGCUCGCUGGGACGGUACUGACGCUGAGACGCGAAAGCGUGGGGAGCGAACGGA
rnacentral:rRNA from 1 species